GGUGUCUCAAUGGUAGAGUGCUUGCUUUGCAAGCAUGCGGCCCUGAGUUCGAUUCCUCAGUACCA
rnacentral:tRNA from 1 species